UUACGGUCAAAUCACGCUGAAACACCGGUUCUCGUACGAUCACCGAAGUUAAGCAUCGUAGAGCCAGGUCAGUACUUAGAUGGGGGACCGCUUGGAAACACCUGGUACUGUAAG
rnacentral:rRNA from 1 species